AUACAGCUGACGAGUCCCAAAUAGGACGAAACAUGCGUCCUGGAU
rfam:Schistosoma mansoni strain Puerto Rico chromosome W, complete genome